rnacentral:rRNA from 1 species
UACGGAGGGUGCAAGCGUUGUUCGGAAUUAUUGGGCGUAAAGCGCGUGUAGGCGGUUGAGUAAGUCAGAUGUGAAAGCCUUCCGCUUAACGGGAGAAGUGCAUUUGAAACUGCUCAGCUGGAGUACGGGAGAGGAGAGUGGAAUUCCCGGUGUAGAGGUGAAAUUCGUAGAUAUCGGGAGGAACACCAGUGGCGAAGGCGGCUCUCUGGUCCGAUACUGACGCUGAGACGCGAAAGCGUGGGGAG